rnacentral:rRNA from 1 species
AGGGUUUGAUCCUGGCUCAGAUUGAACGCUGGCGGCAUGCUUUACACAUGCAAGUCGAACGGUAACAGGCCGCAAGGUGCUGACGAGUGGCGAACGGGUGAGUAAUGUAUCGGAACGUGCCCAGUCGUGGGGGAUAACGCAGCGAAAGCUGCGCUAAUACCGCAUACGAUCUAUGGAUGAAAGCGGGGGACCGUAAGGCCUCGCGCGAUUGGAGCGGCCGAUAUCAGAUUAGGUAGUUGGUGGGGUAAAGGCUCACCAAGCCAACGAUCUGUAGCUGGUCUGAGAGGACGACCAGCCACACUGGGACUGAGACACGGCCCAGACUCCUACGGGAGGCAGCAGUGGGGAAUUUUGGACAAUGGGCGCAAGCCUGAUCCAGCAAUGCCGCGUGCAGGAAGAAGGCCUUCGGGUUGUAAACUGCUUUUGUACGGAACGAAACGGUCCUGGUUAAUACCUGGGGCUAAUGACGGUACCGUAAGAAUAAGCACCGGCUAACUACGUGCCAGCAGCCGCGGUAAUACGUAGGGUGCAAGCGUUAAUCGGAAUUACUGGGCGUAAAG